AUAGAUUGCUUAAUUGCUUGUAAACAUAUAAUUGCUUACAAUUAUCUGUGUAGAACACCCUCUGAAGUAACAGAACAUAUACUUUAAUUUAUGGAGUUACCAAUAAUAGUACCUUGGACUCAUCCAACAAAUCCUCCCAGUUCAUCAGAGCAAACAGCACUUAGGGAUGGUACAAAGCCACUCUGUCAAAACCAUGUUGCCCCAGUCUGUUCAUUUUGUCUGUUUUCCAGAACUUUCCAUCCGAAUUCUCCGGUAAAUCAGAUGAAGCAGAGGUGCCUUCACCAAGAUGUCUGGGCUGAGGUGUUCCUACAAUGGAACAGACCAGGUGGCUGA
rnacentral:lncRNA from 1 species